rnacentral:rRNA from 1 species
GUCUACAGCCACACCACCCUAAAUGCACCCAAUCUCGUCUGAUCUCUCAAGCUAAGCAGGGUUGGGCCUGGUUAGUACUUGGAUGGGGGAGAAGGUCCUGGGGCACC